rnacentral:rRNA from 1 species
CCUACGGGUGGCAGCAGUGAGGAAUAUUGGUCCAUGGGCGAUAGCCUGAACCAGCCAAGUCGCGUGAAGGAUGACUGCCCUAUGGUUUGUAAACUUCUUUUAUAUGGGAAUAAACUGCAUUAUGUAUACUGCUUUGCAUGUACCUUCUGAAUAAGGAUCGGCUAACUCCGUGCCAGCAGCCUCGGUAAUACGGAGGAUUCGAGCAUUAUCCGGAUUUCUUGGGUUUAAAGGGUGCGUAGGCGGGUUGUUAAGUCAGUUGUGAAAGUUUGCGGCUCAACCGUAAAAUUGCAGUUGAUACUGGCAGCCUUGAGAACAGUAGAGGUAGGCGGAAUACGUGGUGUAGCGGUGAAAUGCAUAGAUAUCACGAAGAACGCCGAUUGCGAAGGCAGCCUGCUGGACUGUAACUGACGCUGAUGCUCGAAAGUGUGGGUAUCAAACAGGAGUAGAUACCCGGGUAGUC